GUUAGGAAUAUUGGACAAUGGGCGAAAGCCUGAUCCAGCCAUGCCGCGUGUGUGAAGAAGGUCUUCGGAUUGUAAAGCACUUUAAGUUGGGAGGAAGGGCAGUAAGUUAAUACCUUGCUGUUUUGACGUUACCGACAGAAUAAGCACCGGCUAACUUCGUGCCAGCAGCCGCGGUAAUACGAAGGGUGCAAGCGUUAAUCGGAAUUACUGGGCGUAAAGCGCGCGUAGGUGGUUUUGUAAGUUGGAGGUGAAAUCCCCGGGCUCAACCUGGGAACUGCAUCCAAAACUGAAGGACUAGAGUACGGUAGAGGGUAGUGGAAUUUCCUGUGUAGCGGUGAAAUGCGUAGAUAUAGGAAGGAACACCAGUGGCGAAGGCGACUACCUGGACUGAUACUGACACUGAGGUGCGAAAGCGUGGGGAGCAAACAGGAUUAGAUACCCCAGUAGUCC
rnacentral:rRNA from 1 species